UCGAACGGGGAUUACACGGAGAUGCGAUUUCGGUCAAAUCAAGUGCAAUCUUAGUGGCGGACGGGUGAGUAACGCGUGGGUAACCUGCCUUGCACUGGGGGAUAACACUUAGAAAUAGGUGCUAAUACCGCAUAAGCGCACGGUCCUGCAUGGGACAGUGUGAAAAACUCCGGUGGUGCAAGAUGGACCCGCAUCUGAUUAGCUGGUUGGCGGGGUAAAGGCCCACCAAGGCGACGAUCAGUAGCCGGCCUGAGAGGGUGGACGGCCACAUUGGGACUGAGACACGGCCCAAACUCCUACGGGAGGCAGCAGUGGGGGAUAUUGGACAAUGGGGGGAACCCUGAUCCAGCGACGCCGCGUGAGUGAAGAAGUAUUUCGGUAUGUAAAGCUCUGUCAGCAGGGAAGAAAGCAAUGACGGUACCUGACCAAGAAGCCCCGGCUAACUACGUGCCAGCAGCCGCGGUAAUACGUAGGGGGCAAGCGUUAUCCGGAAUUACUGGGUGUAAAGGGAGCGUAGACGGCUGUGCAAGUCUGGAGUGAAAGGCGGGGGCCCCAACCCCCGGACUGCUCUGGAAACUGUAUGCCUGGAGUGCAGGAGAGGUAAGCGGAAUUCCUAGUGUAGCGGUGAA
rnacentral:rRNA from 1 species